ACUUCCUCUGCUCCCCAGCGCCGGAUGGAUGCAGAUCUGUGAGUAAGGAGCCAGCUGCAGGCAAGCAGCUCGAGGGCAGGUGGGCAUGAUGUCUGGCUACCACUCGCACUGGACGCCACACACACAGCCAGGGUGGCAGAAGGCCCCACCUGCCAUGUGCCAGUGGGACACCACCCUCAUGGUCUGCGUUUCCAGGUUUCCAACUAAGGACUGAGCACACUCUCAACAUGGACCUCCUAACUGCUCUCGAGGAUGGACAGCUGGCCUCAAGGGAACACUGCAAAGUGGCUCUAGGAAGAAGCCACUGUCCCUCCAGACCAUAAAAAUGGCUACCAAGGGCAGAGCCAGCAGCUUUCGCUGUAAAGUUUCUCAAGAAAAUCACAGAUAUUCCCCUCUGUGAUGUUCAGCUCAGCCUGGAAAGGAGAGGUAGAAACUGAGAGUUGAAGAGGCUGAAUAAUUUCUCAAGCACACUCCCAACUCGACCACCCACAAGCAAAAAGGCAGAGCUGGGAUUCAAACACAGGAAUGACAAAGGAAUGCAUAAAGAACUUCAAAGUUCAACUCCUCGAACUUCAAACUUCAAAUCCCCAACUCCUCCUGCCUAUGCUGGACGAUUAGGGCAGUAACAGGAGUCAACUUGUGCUGUGCUGUCACCUUGCCUGGAUCCGCAUCAGCCCUGCAGCUCCCACUUUGGAGGAGACUUGCCCAGGGACCUACAGCUCUGAAGCUUCUCUGACAGCCUCUGCAGCUCUUGGAACUUAUCUGGGCUGCUGCUGUGCAGACCAUGGAUGCAUAGCUGAGUUCCUGCCCCUGAUUUCCUAGAGUCUCAGAAAGACAGGGAAGUGACUUACCCAAAGUCCCCUUUCACCCUAUAAACAGUUCAGCCCAGGGAGUGAGGCUGACACGCAAAUGCAGCUAUGUAUAGACUCAGAGUCAUCCAAGGUCAGGGCUGGGUGGAGCCUUGGUCACAUGCAGGCCAACCUGUGUCUGGAGAUAAUGCAAGCCAGUGCAGGGGUUAGCGUGUACAUGGACUCUGGAGUCUGGCAGAUCUAAGCCCCACCCACCAACCUGUGACCUUGGAGAAUUAUUUGAAAAGACAUUAUUUGAAAAGCAGAUGUAAAAUGGAAAUAAAAGUUCCUAUUUAAAACAGUCAGUUGUCCCCCAUUCAGAAGCCUAUUACAGUUGUCCCUUAGCAUCUUCGAGGAAUUGGUUCCAGGACAGCUCCUCAGAUACCAAAAGCCACGAUGCUCAAAUUCCUUAUAAAAAGUGACGUAGGGCUGG
rnacentral:lncRNA from 10 species